rnacentral:rRNA from 1 species
GACGAACGCUGGCGGCGUGCUUAACACAUGCAAGUCGAACGGAAAGGCCCUGCUUGUGUGGGGUGCUCGAGGGGCGAACGGGUGAGUAACACGGGAGUAACCUGCCCAGGACGGGGGGAUAACUGCAGGAAAGUGGGGCUAAUACAGGAUAGGAGCGCGUGCUGCAUGGGGGGGGUUGGAAAGUAUGGGCGGUGGGGGAUGGACUCGCGGCUUAUCAGCUUGUUGGGGGGGUAGUGGCUUACCAAGGGAUUGACGGGUAGUCGGCCUGGGAGGGUGACCGGCCACAUUGGGACUGAGAGACGGCCCAGACUCCUACGGGAGGCAGCAGUGGAGAAUAUUGCACAGUGGUCGGAAGCCUGAUGCAGCAACGCCGCGUGCGGGAUGCCGGCCUUCGGGUUGUAAACCGCUUUCGCCUGUGACCAAGCGUGAUUGACGGUAAUGGGUAAAGAAGCACCGGCUAACUUCGUG